rnacentral:rRNA from 1 species
UACGUAGGGGGCAAGCGUUGUCCGGAAUCAUUGGGCGUAAAGCGCGUGUAGGCGGUCCGGUAAGUCCGCUGUGAAAGUCGGGGGCUCAACCCUCGGAUGCCGGUGGAUACUGUCGGGCUUGAGUACGGAAGAGGCGAGUGGAAUUCCUGGUGUAGCGGUGAAAUGCGCAGAUAUCAGGAGGAACACCUAUUGCGAAGGCAGCUCGCUGGGACGUAACUGACGCUGAGACGCGAAAGCGUGGGGAGCAAACAGG